GCCCUCCUAGCUCAAUCGGAAGAGCGUGGGACUUUUAAUCCCAAGGUCGUGAGUUCGAGCCUCACGGAGGGCG
rnacentral:tRNA from 1 species